GAAUAACUCACCACAUACACUCUGCUCUCCUGGCUGCUCUGGGAAAUUUAGCUCCGCUCCCAAGUCACAUGAUCGUGACAUCACCACAGGUCCUCAAAGAAAUCAUCCCCUCCAGCAUUCAGAAGAUUGUCAUGAGUUGCAUCACAUGACAGAAUGGUCAUGUGACAAUCCCAGAUGUACACUUGAGAAUAGCGCCAGAACCUCAGAGAAUCCACACACAAGCGGGAUGGACAAUAGAGUGCCGACGCUUAUAUGAGAAGUGAUUCUGCAGUUUCUGCCACCAUGAGGACAUUGAGGACAGCAGAAGGGACUAUGCAGCAUCACAGUGGCAGCAGUUGGGAAUUGGCUAAGGAAUAAUAAAAGAGCAAUAGAGAGUUCUAAGAAAAGAUGUUCCAGGAUUAUGAUUUCAGGGUGACACAAACAUAGCAGCUUCUUUACAAUGUAAGUUCAGGGCUCGCAUAUAAGAAGUGUAUCAUGACUAAGG